AACGGCCAUACCGUACUAGAAAACACUGGUUCUCGCCUGAUCACCGAAGUUGAGCAUCAUUGGGCUCGGUCAGUACUUGGGAAAGUGACCUCCUGGGAACAAUGCG